AUGCAUGACCUAGUGCAUGAUCUUGCAAGAGCAAUCUUGGCCGAUCAAGUAAACAGUAAUGGCAGUGUUAUGGGAAAUGGAUGCCUCUAUGCAUUUCUCACAGAUUGUAGCAAGCCAUUGCAGUUAUCCGCGACUUCUCCUGCAAAUAUAAAGGCGUUGCAUUUUCUAGACUGUGGCAAAUUGGAACUCCAUGGUGAUGCAUUUUCACUAGGUACAUGCCUCCCUGUCUUGGAUUUAAGUGAAUGCCGUGUCUUGGAUUUAAGUGAAUGCCUUAUACGGAAGUUGCCAGAAUCUGUUGGUCAACUGAAACUGUUGAGGUUUCUUUGUGCUCCAAGGAUCCGAGAUCACAUGAUUCCCAAUUGUAUCACCGAGCUCUCAGAAUUAAAUUAUCUCAACCUUAGAGGCUCUCAUAAUCUCUCAGCACUGCCGGAUUCAAUUGGUGAUAUGAAGGGUCUGAUGCAUCUUGAUCUAUCAGGUUGCCAUGGAAUACGUGAACUCCCAAAGUCAUUCGCAGAGCUGAAGCAGCUGGUGCAUCUGGAUUUAUCCCAUUGCUAUAUGUCUAUUUCAAAAGCUUUUGGCGGCUUUACAAAGCUUCAAUAUUUGAAUUUAUCAGUUCAGUUUAUUAUUGUAGCAAAUAGGAGAGGUCUGACAGAGGUUAUUGGUAAUCUAACCAAACUCAGGUAUCUAAAUCUAUCAGGGUGCAUGCAUGCUAUGGCCCAGUCAAAAGAUCAAGUUGACAUCUUGCUUGGCUCUCUCAGCACUCUUUCCAAUCUAGAGCAUCUGGACUUAACUGAGAAUCGAGGGCUUUCUAGUAUACCAGAAAGUUUUGGCAACCUCAGGAAACUUCAUACAUUGGACCUCAUAGGCUGCUCCAACAUAGAGAAGCUUCCUGAUAGUAUGUUUCAAAUAGUUAAUUUGAAGGUUCUAAAUGUGGACAACUUUGUUAAAUCCGGGCUCUCCUGGUUAAAUCUUGCCUUGUUGCCACACUUUGUGGUGCAUCCUUCUAGUGAUAAAAGUAGCAGCAAUAUCACCCUGCUUCAGCCUACAAAUCCUGAUAUGCUGACGAUAGAUAGACUUGAAGAUGUGAAGUCUGCAGAAGAGGCUGAGAGUAUAAAACUGAUCGAGAAACAAAAAAUUAAAAUGCUAGCAUUUCAAUGGACUGUACCUGCUGUUAGGUUUGUGGAUGACAAGGAGGUGUUGGAAAAACUAGUGCCACCAAGCAGUACACAGAUAUUGUCUAUAACUGGUUACAGGAGUGUCACCAUUCCUGAUUGGUUUAUGAGCAUUAGGCAGUACCUACCUAAUCUUUGUAAGAUAAAUCUGUGUGAUUUUCAUAAGUGCAAGAGCUUACCACCACUCGGUCAACUACCAAAUCUACUAGAGCUGGGUCUCUAUGGCAUGGAGAGCUUGGAAGAGUUCAACACUGCAUAUACCAGUGGGGAGGGAGGUGCAAAUGAGUUAAUGUUCCCUAAGCUUGAGGCAUUGACCGUAGAGCGAUGUGCAAAGUUGAGGAUACAACCAUGUCUGCCUAGAGAUAUAUCGGUCUUGAUGAUAAUAGAUUGUGAUAAUGUGCUAUUAUCAUUGGGAGAGAGCUUGUCACACAGUGCUGCUUCCUCCUCAUCUCCAUUAACUGAUUUGACUGUUUGUAGCAGCAAGGUGCCCAUGCAUCAGUGGAGGUUGCUUCAUCACCUCCCUGCCCUCCGUAAGUUGACUAUCGGCCGUUGCAGUGAUCUGACCACCUCAACUGAGAUUAUUGAACACCUCUCCUCUCUCGAAUCAUUGUCACUCGACCAGCCAGAACUCCCGAGUUGGUUGGUUGAGCUAACUUCACUACAAGAACUAAGUUUGUCUACGUGCAGAAGCAUGAGACUUUGCCAUCGACGUUUAAGACUGGAAAGAUGUCUUAGCCAUCUUUAUGUUCUCUCUACAUCCAUCCAUUGA
rnacentral:rRNA from 1 species